rnacentral:rRNA from 1 species
UAGCGGAACUCCUACGGGAGGCAGCAGUGGGGAAUUUUGGACAAUGGGGGCAACCCUGAUCCAGCAAUGCCGCGUGAGUGAAGAAGGCCUUCGGGUUGUAAAGCUCUUUUGUCAGGGAAGAAACGGUAGUAGCUAAUAUCUAUUACUAAUGACGGUACCUGAAGAAUAAGCACCGGCUAACUACGUGCCAGCAGCCGCGGUAAUACGUAGGGUGCAAGCGUUAAUCGGAAUUACUGGGCGUAAAGCGUGCGCAGGCGGUUGUGCAAGACCGAUGUGAAAUCCCCGAGCUUAACUUGGGAAUUGCAUUGGUGACUGCACGGCUAGAGUGUGUCAGAGGGGGGUAGAAUUCCACGUGUAGCAGUGAAAUGCGUAGAGAUGUGGAGGAAUGCCUAUGGCGAAGGCAACCCCCUGGGAUAACACUGACGCUCAUGCACGAAAGCGUGGGGAGCAAACAGGAUUAGAAACCCUAGUAGUCCACUUAUG